rnacentral:rRNA from 1 species
UACGUAGGGGGCUAGCGUUGUCCGGAAUCAUUGGGCGUAAAGCGCGUGUAGGCGGUUCGGUAAGUCCGCUGUGAAAGUCGGGGGCUCAACCCUCGAAUGCCGGUGGAUACUGUCGGACUAGAGUACGGAAGAGGCGAGUGGAAUUCCUGGUGUAGCGGUGAAAUGCGCAGAUAUCAGGAGGAACACCAAUUGCGAAGGCAGCUCGCUGGGACGUUACUGGCGCUGAGACGCGAAAGCGUGGGGAGCAAACAGG